GUGAAGCAGCGGAGCGAUCGGGGCCGAACCUCCCCCUUCCCUCCGCCUCCCGAGCGGGGCUGGCGCCGAGUGGCGGAGCUCGCCGCUGCAGCCGGGACUGGCACCUCGGGCGAGCUUCGCUCCGUUCUUCCUCCUCCUCCUCCUCCUCGUCGUCGCCGCGCAGGGCUCUCCCCGGGGGGAGGCGGCGGGCAGCGGCAGCCCGGCCGGGGCAGCAUGAGGACCGGCGGGGGCCGGAGGGGGUAGGCGGCCGGCCGGGGGGGGAGUCCCGCCACGCUCACCCCGCGGGGAGGCGGUCGGUGCCGGGGAGCACCGGCGGUCCCGGGAGCGGUCCCGGGAGCCCGGUCCCGGGGUCGCGGUGGGGCGGUCGGGAAGGUGGGGGGGGUGUCGCAGCAUGUGAGCGGCGCGGCCCGGCGGGAGGUUCGUCCGGCGGCAGGGCGGCCCCGCUGCCCCCCGUAGGGUGCGGGGAGGCGGCGGCAGCGGGGCCCGGCAUGCCGCGCUGCCGGAACUGCUGCCCGGCGGAGAGCUCGGUGCCGGUGCGGCGGGCUGCCCGCGGCCGCUCCCCCCGCCGCUCGGGGCCGCUGCCGGCCGCGGCGCGGGGCUCGGCGGGGCUCGGCAUGGCGCGGCGCUGCUCGCACUGAUCCCGGGGCGGCGGCGGCGGCGGCGGCGGCGGGGAGCGCCCAUGGCGCGGGGGUGCCGGGCCCGCCGCUGCGCACCCGGCUGCACGGGCUGCGGCACAUGUGCUCGCGGCGGGCGGCGCUGCCGCGGCGGGCGCUGUGGGUGCUGGCGUUCUGCACCGCGCUGGGCUUGCUGCUGUCCUGGUCCUCCAACCGCCUGCUGCACUGGCUCUCCUUCCCCUCGCACACCCAAGUGCGUACCGAGUGGAGCCGGCAGCUGCCUUUCCCCGCCGUCACCCUUUGCAACAACAACCCGCUCCGCUUCCCCCGGCUUUCCAAAGGGGAUCUUUACUACGCGGGUCACUGGCUGGGGUUGCUGCUGCCCAACCGCACCGCCCGCCCGCUGCUCACCGAGCUGCUGCGAGGCGACGAGGCGCGGCUCCGCUGGUUCGCCAAACUGGCCGAUUUUCGCCUCUUUUUGCCGCCCCGGCACUACGAAGGCAUCAGCGCCGAGUUCAUGGACCGCCUGGGCCACCAGCUGGAGGACAUGCUGCUCUCCUGCAAGUACCGCGGCGAGCUCUGCGGGCCCCACAACUUCUCCGCGGUGUUUACAAAAUAUGGGAAAUGCUACAUGUUUAACUCAGGAGAAGAAGGACGGCCUCUUCUUACCACAGUUAAGGGUGGGACAGGCAAUGGACUGGAAAUCAUGCUAGACAUACAGCAGGAUGAAUAUUUGCCAAUAUGGGGAGAAACAGAGGAGACAACAUUUGAGGCUGGAGUCAAAGUCCAGAUCCACAGCCAGUCCGAGCCACCCUUCGUCCAGGAGCUGGGGUUCGGGGUGGCCCCUGGAUUCCAGACCUUUGUGGCCACCCAAGAGCAAAGGCUGACGUACCUGCCUCCGCCGUGGGGUGAAUGCCGCUCGUCGGAUAUGGGCUUAGACUUCUUUCCCGUUUACAGCAUCACGGCCUGCAGGAUCGACUGCGAGACCCGCUACAUUGUGGAAAACUGCAACUGCAGGAUGGUUCACAUGCCAGGGGAUGCUCCCUUCUGCACGCCGGAGCAGUACAAGGAAUGCGCAGAGCCUGCACUCGGUUUGCUUGCUGAAAAGGACAGCAAUUACUGCAUCUGCAGGACACCCUGUAACCUGACCAGAUACAACAAAGAGCUCUCCAUGGUCAAGAUCCCCAGCAAGACCUCGGCCAAGUACCUGGAGAAGAAGUUCAACAAGUCAGAAAAAUAUAUCUCAGAGAAUAUUCUUGUGCUGGACAUAUUUUUUGAAGCACUCAACUAUGAGACAAUUGAGCAGAAGAAAGCCUAUGAAGUGGCAGCCUUACUUGGUGACAUUGGAGGCCAGAUGGGGCUCUUUAUCGGUGCUAGCAUCCUCACUAUACUAGAGCUCUUCGAUUAUAUAUAUGAGCUGAUCAAGGAGAAAUUAUUAGACCUACUUGGAAAAGAGGAAGAGGAAGGGAGCCAUGAUGAAAACGUGAGCACUUGUGACCCCAUGCCAAACCAUUCGGAAUCCAUCAGCCACACUGUGACCGUGCCGCUGCAGGCCACCCUGGGAACGCUGGAGGAGAUUGCCUGCUGACACCACCCGACCGCUCCACAGUGCCAACACCUAAGGAAGGGAAACUGCACAGGGAAGCAGGGACCGAGCUCAGUCUCUGAUUUUCACUACAAGAAGGAACUCGCGGGCCCAGCCAUCCCCUGAAAUCACCAUUACUAACGUCGUAGGCUGAAUUAGAAUAAAGAAACAAAAAGUCGCA